rnacentral:rRNA from 1 species
GUGCCAGCCGCCGCGGUAAUUCCAGCUCCAAUAGCGUAUAUUAAAGUUGUUGUGGUUAAAAAGCUCGUAGUUGAACCUUGGGCCUGGCUGGCCGGUCCGCCUCACCGCGUGCACUGGUCCGGCCGGGCCUUUCCCUCUGUGGAACCCCAUACCCUUCACUGGGCGUGGCGGGGAAACAGGACAUUUACUUUGAAAAAAUUAGAGUGCUCCAGGCAGGCCUAUGCUCGAAUACAUUAGCAUGGAAUAAUAAAAUAGGACGCGCGGUUCUAUUUUGUUGGUUUAUAGGACCGCCGUAGUGAUUAAUAGGGACAGUCGGGGGCAUAAGUAUUCAACUGUCAGAGGUGAAAUUCUUGGAUCAGUUGAAGACUAACUACUGCGAAAGCAUUUGCCAAGGAUGUUUUCAUUAAUCAGGAACGAAAGUUAGGGGAUCGAAGACGAUCAGAUACCGUCGUAGUCUUAACCAUAAACUAUGCCGACUAGGGAUCGGACGGUGUUAUUCAUGACCCGUUCGGCACCUUACGAGAAAUCAAAGUGCUUGGGCUCCAGGGGGAGUAUGGUCGCAAGGCUGAAACUUAAAGAAAUUGACGGAAGGGCACCACCAGGGGUGGAGCCUGCGGCUUAAUUUGACUCAACACGGGGAAACUCACCAGGUCCAGACACAAUAAGGAUUGACAGAUUGAGAGCUCUUUCUUGAUUUUGUGGGUGGUGG